GACGAACGCUGGCGGCGUGCUUAACACAAGCAAGUCGAACGAUGAACCCGGAGCUUGCUCCGGUGGAUUAGUGGCGAACGGGUGAGUAACACCUGAGUAACCUGCCCUUGACUCUGGGAUAACUGCGGGAAACUGUAGCUAAUACCGGAUACGACCCUCGGCGGCAUCGCCAGGGGGUGGAAAGAAUUUCGGUCAAGGAUGGACUCGCGGCCUAUCAGCUAGUUGGUGAGGUAACGGCUAACCAAGGCGACGACGGGUAGCCGGCCUGAGAGGGGGACCGGCCAAACUGGGACUGGGACACGGCCCAGAGUCCUACGGGAGGCAGCAGUGGGGAAUGUUGCACAAUGGGCGCAAGCCUGAUACAGCAACGCCGCGUGAGGGAUGACGGCCUUCGGGUUGUAAACCUCUUUUAGUAGGGAAGAAGCGAAAGUGACGGUACCUGCAGAAAAAGCACCGGCUAACUACGUGCCAGCCGCCGCCGUAA
rnacentral:rRNA from 1 species